rnacentral:rRNA from 1 species
CGCGUAGGCGGUUUUUCAAGUCGUAUGUGAAAACUUCAGGCUUAACCUGAUGAUUGCAUAUGAAACUGGAUAACUUGAGUACAGCAGAGGAAAGUGGAAUUCCUGGUGUAGCGGUGAAAUGCGCAGAUAUCAGGAAGAACACCGGUAGCGAAGGCGGCUUUCUGGGCUGUUACUGACGCUGAGGCGCGAAAGCUAGGGGAGCGAACA